AAAUUGAAGAGUUUGAUCAUGGCUCAGAUUGAACGCUGGCGGCAGGCCUAACACAUGCAAGUCGAACGGUAACAGGAAUCAGCUUGCUGAUUUGCUGACGAGUGGCGGACGGGUGAGUAAUGUCUGGGAAACUGCCUGAUGGAGGGGGAUAAC
rnacentral:rRNA from 1 species